rnacentral:rRNA from 1 species
UACAGAGGGCUCAAGCGUUGUUCGGAUUCAUUGGGCGUAAAGGGCGUGUAGGUGGCGCGCUAAGUCGGGUGUGAAAUUUCGGAGCUUAACUCCGAAACUGCAUUCGAUACUGGCGUGCUUGAGGACUGGAGAGGAGACUGGAAUUUACGGUGUAGCAGUGAAAUGCGUAGAUAUCGUAAGGAAGACCAGUGGCGAAGGCGGGUCUCUGGACAGUUCCUGACACUGAGACACGAAGGCCAGGGGAGCAAACGGG